rnacentral:antisense_RNA from 1 species
GUGAAGAUGGACAGUGUGUGAAUUAUAAGAGCUCUGUUUCUAAAGUGAUUCAACUAUACUUGCACAGAAUUCCAAAAGCUCUACUGUUUAUUACUCUUCAUUACUAAUACAGCCUUUGAUUGUAAGCAGGCUGUCCUUUGUGAAUAACAAUCACAGAUACAGACAUCUUCAGACAGUUCAAGUCGUGUGCUUCAAUCAAACUCUAGUCGGAAAAGAACUUUCAGAGAAAGGCUGCUUCCACAGUACUGACAAAAUCUGCUAUAUAUCACAUAACAUUGCAUUGUGCACUCACUCAAACUUUAUGUUUCCCUGUUUUAUAAAUUCUUAAGAGCACUGCAUGGCUCACAAAAAUCUAAUACUGGCACUCUCUAUGUUGGCGAUUACUGAAUGGAAAUAUGCAUAUUUAGCUUGAAAGAAAGAAGGGUAAUAUUUUCCUUGCAAUUUAUUCACCAUUUCCUUUAUAUAACCUGCAAUCAUGAGCUUUGUGACACAUUGGAAAAGAAAUACUUUAUUAUAGAAAAUAUAACUAGAUAGUAAUGAGUUUUAAAGCAGAGUAUUGACCAUGUAUAAUGGUUCUCACAGAUAUGAAAUGAAAAAAUCCGAAAAAUGAAAGUAAAUCUCUUAAAAAUACUAAA